ensembl:lncRNA
GUGAUGAAUAACUGUAACGGGGCGGUGAAAGCAUAAAAGAAAGAAGAAAAGAUUUAGAGAAAUUGAUUUAUGUAUUCCACUCAUAGCGCUUAAUUUUUCUUUGAACAACGUACUGGACAUUGGCUCGGUUCCCGCAUACUUCCUCACUUGCAUUGAGGCAUGUGCAAUCGCGCACUGCUACUGUUCACGUUGUGCCACUGAAUUAAUAUUAAUAUUAAUAUUAAUUUCCAGGGGGCGCUGUGUAAUAAUUUUUCAGGAAAGGGGGCAGUAGGCCAAAUAAGUUUGGGAACCACUGGUUUAAAUCCUUGAGCAAAUGAUAGCUCAAACAUUGGUCCAAAAGCAAGCCCUAAAUAAAUACAAAGAAAUCAAUACAAAAGGAGAUGCUGAGAGAGAGAACGGGAGCUAUAAUAAAAGUCACAGAACUAAACCAAGAAAAGAUGGCAGGUGAUACAUUUCAGAAACAAAUCUCAGAAAUCUUAAAGAUGCAAGAAUUAGUCAUUAGUAACUACCGUGUGUCCCCGAAAAUAAGACAGUGUCUUAUAUUAAUUUUUGCUCCCAAAUAGGCGCUAGGUCUUAUUUUCAGGGGAUGUCUUAUUUUUCCAUGAAGAAGAAUUCACAUUUAUUGUUGAACAAAAAAAUGAACAUUUAUUAUAUACUAGCUUGGAGACCCGGCGAUGCCCGGGUCAUUUGAGAAAGGCCUUGUUUGCCUGUGUUCCAAGUGUAGGCUAUAUCCAAUGUCAGCUGGGUUCAGUGGGUGCGGGUUAGCUCCAACUCCCAUAUGCAAGUCCCAUCGUGCAUGGUCCAUCAUCCUCCAAACUGCACCUGGGUGUAGAGUGAGUCAUGGGUGUUCUCUGUUUGAAGUUUGGUCUUGAUGAGACAUUGAUGGGGGUGACAGUGGUCUCGGGAAGUGAAUGAAUAUACUACAAGUCCCAUCAUCCAAGGUCCAAGCUGUUUCAAACCUCACCAAGAUGUAGAGCGGGCCAUGGUGGCUCUAUGUGCCAAGUUUGGUCUUGAUCAGUCAUUGGUGGGGGUCACAGUAGUCCCAGGAAGUGAGUGAAGAUAGUGCAAGUCCCAUCAUCCAUGGUCCCUCCUGCCCCAAACUGCACCAGGAUGUAAAGUGGGCUACCCUGCACGUGCGUGUCAAGUUUGAUACAGUUUUGUCAUUCAUGGGCAUCACAGUGGUUUGUGGGAGGUGAAUUGGAUGAAUGUACUGCAAAUCCCAUAAUCCUUGGUCCACCCUCCGUCAAAGUGCUGCAGCAUGUGAAGUGUGUCAUUUGGGAUCUGUGUGCCUGGUUUGGUUCAGUUCUGUGAUUUGUGGCAGUUGCUGUGGUCUCAAGAAGUGAGGGAAGGUACUGAAAAUUCCAUCAUCCUUGGUCCAUCCUGCCCCAAUAUACAUCAGGACGUAAAGGGGUCCACAGGAGUUCUGUGUGCCAAGUUUGGUCCAUUUCUAUCAUUGGUGGGCAUUGCAGUAGUCUGUGGGAGUUAAAGUGUUUGAAAGUACUGCAAAUCCCAUCAUCUGUGGUCCAUCCUCCCCCAAAUGGCAGCAGGUCAUAAAGUGCAUCGUGGGGAUGAAGUGUGCCAAGUUUGGUGCAGAUCCGUCAUUCCUGUUGGUCUCAGUGGCCUGGGAUAGUGGCGGCCAAUCAAAUCGCGAGCACAUAUUCCGCCAGGCCAAUCAAAACGUUGAUACAUACUCCGAUUUCACUUUUAUUAUAUAUAUAGACUGUACAGUAGUUGUCAUCACAAACUAGCAUAACCAGAUGAACUGUGAAUCCUAUCAAGAAUUUCUUGUUACUACCAAUAUUUCCAUGUACAACAAUCUAAGGUACGUACAUUUACCAAUCCUGCAUGCUUUGGUGUUCUGUUCAGCCGGCAUGCUUCCAAACAAAAACUUUGCUAGGUUUUACUUUUGGGGGAGGCCUUAUAUUUAGCAAUUCAGCAAAACCUCUACUAGAUCUUAUUUUCUGGGGAUGUCUUAUUUUAG